AGUUGGCAGAAUUCUUUGCAGAACAAUUGUUGUAGAUGCUGCUGGAAUUCUGUUCAAAUAUUGUGAAAGGACUGCUUUGAAGGUUUUGUUGCUCUUCUAAACAGGAGAGGAAAAUAUACUUAGUUAAAGCUCUGGACCUGUGCAUAAAAAAGAAGGUGAGUGUCAUUAUUCCUGUUUCACAGAUCAAGAACUGAAGUGUAGGGAAGAGAGCUUGGUUUGCCCAAGAUCAUGCAGCAUGGAGAAUCAGAGGAAAUGGUAGAACCAGGAGAAGAAUGUUCCUUUUUUACUCCCAAGAAACAUCCAGUCCAUUGGAGAGUAAGGCUUCUUGGUGGCCUUGCUGUACUCAGGUUGCAUUUUCAAGGACACUGUCUACAGCUCAGCAGUGACCUGGAACAAAUUCUCCAGCAUGAGGGGAAAAGAAUGUUGCCCGAAUGCCUUCCUAAUGAGAGCAAAACAGAGGGAACCUGAGAUAAAUUCAGAACCUGAACUACAAAGCAGGAGAACCAACAGGGAAAGUGAAGCAACGGGAACUUGGCAAAAGGUGGCAGAAACCUUCCCCCAGUGCAUUUGCUACACAAAGCUGUUGAAAUAUUGCUCCCUUUCUGGUGGUAAUGCAGCAGCCUUUUUAAUGAUGGUUGCUGCAGAUAAUGUGGCAGCUGUAAUGGAAUAUAACCCAGGCAGUGAACCAGAGAGAGCUCCAGACUUGCUGGAGACUAGGAGAGACAGGAUAAGCACCAGAAAUGACUGUGAGGGUAAGUGGCCAGCUGAAAAGAGCUGAAGGACAUCCACUAAUUAGACAGGUAGAAAUUCAUAACGCAAAAUGGAAGUAAAUAAUGGACCCCAAAACAUUGUAAGAAAUCAUUCCUAAUGAAACUUACCAGGCCCCCAGGAAGUUUUGUGAAUCGGAGUGUUCAGUGUCAAUUAAUUUAAGGAACAAUGUAAUAUGUUAUGACACAGAAGCCACCGACAAAUUUUGAAAUAAUUGGGGUUAUAUCAACCAAUAAACAUUUUUUGGGAGGAAA